AAAGUCUGGCCUGCCCUAUGAAUAUUUAAAUGGCUGCGGUACUCUGACCGUGCAAAGGUAGCAUAAUAAUUAGUUUCUUAAUUGGGAACUGGAAUGAAAGGUCGCACGAGAAAAAGACUGUCUCAAUUUAAUUUAAAUUAGAAUUUUAUCUUUAAGUAAAAAAGCUUAAAUACUAUUAAAAGACGAGAAGACCCUAUAGAAUUUUAUAAUUUUAUUUAUAUUUGAAAGUUAAAGUAUUUUAGAUUUAGGUAUAUAUUGAAAUUAUUUGGUUGGGGCGACUAAAAAAUUGAAAGAACUUUUUUUAUUACUAAACAUUAAUAUAUGAGUAAGUGAUCCA
rnacentral:rRNA from 1 species